rnacentral:rRNA from 1 species
AGUGAACGCUGGCGGCGUGCCUAACACAUGCAAGUCGUGCGCGAAAGGGUAGCAAUACCUGAGUAAAGCGGCGAACGGGUGAGUAACACGUGGUUAACCUGCCGAGAUGUGGGGGAUACCCCGGGGAAACUCGGGACAAUACCGCAUAUGGUCUUCUGGGCGUCGGCCCGGAAGAGCAAAGCCGGGGAUCGCAAGACCUGGCGCAUUUCGAGGGGACCGCGGCCGAUUAGCUAGUUGGCGGAGUAACAGCCCACCAAGGCGACGAUCGGU